CCUACGGGUGGCAGCAGUGAGGAAUAUUGGUCAAUGGACGCAAGUCUGAACCAGCCAUGCCGCGUGCAGGAAGACGGCUCUAUGAGUUGUAAACUGCUUUUGUACGAGGGUAAACGCAGACACGCGUAUCUGUCUGAAAGUACCGUACGAAUAAGGAUCGGCUAACUCCGUGCCAGCAGCCGCGGUAAUACGGAGGAUUCAAGCGUUAUCCGGAUUUAUUGGGUUUAAAGGGUGCGUAGGCGGGCGGUUAAGUUAGUGGUAAAAUCCUGAGGCUCAACUGCGGAAUUGCCUCUGAUACUGGCAGGCUAGAGAAUAGUUGCGGUAGGCGGAAUGUGUGGUGUAGCGGUGAAAUGCUUAGAGAUCACAAAGAACUCCGAUUGCGAAGGCAGCUUACCAAGCUGCUUCUGACGUUGAGGCACGAAAGUGUGGGGAGCAAACAGGAUUAGAUACCCUGGUAGUC
rnacentral:rRNA from 1 species